GUGUCAGCCGCCGCGGUAAGACGAACCGUGCGAACGUUGUUCGGAAUCACUGGGCUUAAAGGGCGCGUAGGCGGGUCAUCAAGUCAGGGGUGAAAUCCUCCAGCUCAACUGGAGAACUGCCUUUGAUACUGAUGGUCUCGAGUGAGGUAGGGGCGUGCGGAACUGAUGGUGGAGCGGUGAAAUGUGUUGAUAUCAUCAGGAACUCCGGUGGCGAAAGCGGCACGCUGGACCUCCACUGACGCUGAGGCGCGAAAGCUAGGGGAGCAAACGGGAUUAGAAACCCCCGUAGUCC
rnacentral:rRNA from 1 species